GAUGAACGCUGGCGGCGUGCCUAAUACAUGCAAGUCGAGCGAACAGACGAGGAGCUUGCUCCUCUGACGUUAGCGGCGGACGGGUGAGUAACACGUGGAUAACCUACCUAUAAGACUGGGAUAACUUCGGGAAACCGGAGCUAAUACCGGAUAAUAUAUUGAGCCGCAUGGUUCAAUAGUGAAAGACGGUUUUGCUGUCACUUAUAGAUGGAUCCGCGCCGCAUUAGCUAGUUGGUAAGGUAACGGCUUACCAAGGCAACGAUGCGUAGCCGACCUGAGAGGGAGAUCGGCCACACUGGAACUGAGACACGGUCCAGACUCCUACGGGAGGCAGCAGUAGGGAAUCUUCCGCAAUGGGCGAAAGCCUGACGGAGCAACGCCGCGUGAGUGAUGAAGGUCUUCGGAUCGUAAAACUCUGUUAUUAGGGAAGAACAAAUGUGUAAGUAACUAUGCACGUCUUGACGGUACCUAAUCAGAAAGCCACGGCUAACUACGUG
rnacentral:rRNA from 1 species